rnacentral:rRNA from 1 species
GAUGAACGCUGGCGGCGUGCCUAAUACAUGCAAGUCGAGCGAACAGACGAGGAGCUUGCUCCUCUGACGUUAGCGGCGGACGGGUGAGUAACACGUGGAUAACCUACCUAUAAGACUGGGAUAACUUCGGGAAACCGGAGCUAAUACCGGAUAAUAUAUUGAACCGCAUGGUUCAAUAGUGAAAGACGGUUUUGCUGUCACUUAUAGAUGGAUUCGCGCCGCAUUAGCUAGUUGGUAAGGUAACGGCUUACCAAGGCAACGAUGCGUAGCCGACCUGAGAGGGUGAUUGGCCACACUGGAACUGAGACACGGUCCAGACUCCUACGGGAGGCAGCAGUAGGGAAUCUUCCGCAAUGGGCGAAAGCUUGACGGAGCAACGCCGCGUGAGUGAUGAAGGUCUUCGGAUCGUAAAACUCUGUUAUUAGGGAAGAACAAAUGUGUAAGUAACUAUGCACGUCUUGACGGUACCUAAUCAGAAAGCCACGGCUAACUACGUG